rnacentral:misc_RNA from 1 species
AACGCAUCUUGCGCUCUCUGGUAUUCCGGCGAGCAUGUCUGUUUGAGUGUCGUGAACUCUUCAACCCCCAAUUUUUCUGUAUGGGAAUUUUGGCGCGGCUUGGUUUCUGAACGUUUCAUGCUGGAUUCUACCCUCGGGUGGAAUCGAAGCUCGUUCGUAAUGCAUUAGCAUCCUAAUCUUCGAGAUCAGAUUGACUCGGCGUAAUAGACUAUUCGCUGAGGACAUGGCUCCCCGUCAAAAAGGGAGUUGUGGCUGGACUUGGAAAGUUGGAAGCUUACAAAACCCGACAAUCUAGUCAAUCAUUUUUUAAGAUUAGACCUCAGAUCAGGCAGGAUUACCCGCUGAACUUAA